rnacentral:rRNA from 1 species
AGUGAACGCUGGCGGUAGGCCUAACACAUGCAAGUCGAACGGCAGCACAGUAAGAGCUUGCUCUUACGGGUGGCGAGUGGCGGACGGGUGAGGAAUACAUCGGAAUCUACUUUUUCGUGGGGGAUAACGUAGGGAAACUUACGCUAAUACCGCAUACGACCUACGGGUGAAAUCAGGGGAUCUUCGGACCUUGAGCGAUUGAAUGAGCCGAUGUCGGAUUAGCUAGUUGGCGGGGUAAAGGCCCACCAAGGCUACGAUCCGUAGCUGGUCUGAGAGGAUGAUCAGCCACACUGGAAGUGAGACACGGUCCAGACUCCUACGGGAGGCAGCAGUGGGGAAUAUUGGGCAAUGGGCGCAAGCCUGAUCCAGACAUACCGCGUGGGUGAAGAAGGCCUUCGGGUGGUAAAGCCCUUUUGUUGGGAAAGAAAAGCAGCAGGUUAAUACCCCGCUGUUCUGACGGUACCCAAAGAAUAAGCACCGGCUAACUUCGUG